rnacentral:misc_RNA from 1 species
CUAAUCCAUAUAAAUAAACCCAUACACUCAAAAAAUUAUAUAAUGAAUCAAUUAUUUAGUGCAGGUUGGUGCCGCAAAAUAAGUGAAAAAAAUAAUAUGGACCAAAACAUCAGAAAAAUGAUCAGACACUGUUUCUAACAUGCUAAAAACAGCAAAGCACAAUGGUACUACAAAGAAUGAAAGCAAAAGACAAAAAGCGGAUACAAGGCAUCGCAUAAGAACAAAUAGGCUAGCAGCAAAAAAGCCAACUAAAUCUGCAGAAACUAGCAACAAGCAAUGCAGAGAGACGCGAACAGCAGAACCAAUAACGCAUAUGGGAUACGCCGAGCACAAUACGCGCAUGUCCUGAAACUUAAGUAUAGAGCAUGGCAAGAAGAGCAGCCCCUCGGUACAAGAAUAGCACAGCUUUGACACAGACCAAAAGAACAGCAACCAACCAGCGAGGACCACCCUAACCUGUAACAAAAUCUCAAAGUAGCAAUGUCCAAAGCACAAGAUAGCAGCAAAAGGCAACAGCAAAUUAGAACCACGCCACGAAGUCACUAGCACGCUGAACACCUUGCUUAGCCAUGGAAUCGGCGACUGAAUUUGCAUUUCUAAGCGUAUGAAUAAAGGACACAGGAGGCAACUUUUCCAGCAGGCAUAGAAUUGAAUUUGAGAGAGAGUUAAGUUUCUAAGGAACAGAAUCUGGAUUUCGCACCGAAGAUAAUGCAAUCAUAGAAUCUGACUCUACAAUAACACCAUCCACUCUAGACCAUUUAUCAACACGAGAAAUCAACAAAGACAAACCUUUUUCAAUGGCCCGAAACUCAGCAUCGUUCGAAUCUAGACAGCCCAAAGGACAGGAUAAGAGACAAAUAAAAUCCCCGGCAGAAUUUCA